AAAUAGAACUUUGCAGAGAGAGUUAACAGGGCGUGAAACCGUUAAUUGGCAAACGAAUCGGAGCCACGAAGUCGUUUCGCUGAUAAGUUGGGCCGAGUUCAGUUUAGGCUGCGCAAGCAGUCUGGGCGUAUUCUCGUCAGUUCAACCAAAAAUCAUUGUAAGCGUACACUGCAACCAGUUAGACAAUUGGCAAUGGGCCCAGUGAGUGGGGACAGUCGCAAGAUUGUAACUGCAAGCGAAGCAUUUGUUUGUGUGGAUAGGUAGUGGCGUGGUGGAGCUCUCGGGUUCCCUGUGUCGCUGGAUUCAUGCAAGUGAACUAUUACCAAAUACUGACUGGCAAAAUGAAAAUCGCCUCUCCAUGGGCGUUAUACAGAAUGCGUAGUUGAGAGUUGUGUCUACACAUUUGACCGUAGGGUUUAAGCUCAGCAUUUUUGAAUUUGGACUUGCUCGCUACCAAUGGGGCAACUCUUGGUGCUUGUAUAGUUUCCAUCUAAUCGGGUGUUGACUUGAUUUUGCGUCGUUUGGAUGUGCUACGAUUGGAUGCAACUUUUAUGCUAUUCGCAAUGUUUAAAUUGGCAGUGAGUAGGUCGGCUUUCCGAACGACCCGUCUUGAAACACGGACCAAGGAGUCUAAUUAGGCAUCGAGUCGAUCGGUCUUGAAUAGGCCAGAUAGGGAUAGUUUCGAUUAUUCCGAUUGAAGGCGUAGAGAAAUCAAAUCAUGUGAUCGUUGGACUAAAAACAAGUCUGACGCGCAACAUGUGCCUGUUCGUAUAGUAAUGUGCGUUAAAAACACUUACUGAGCGGAGCAAAGAGAUACCUGAUUGGUACC
rnacentral:rRNA from 1 species